CUCAUCAUCGUCCUCGCCCUCGUCAUCGUCACCACCAUCAACCGUCACCCGUCCACGUCCUUGUCAUCAACGACAACACAAUAUCACCAAUCAUAACCAUUCUGUGUGGCAACCACCUCUGUUGUGUGACAGGGGGAUAAAUGCCAACUUUCACUUGAUGUCGAGCAGUAUUCGAACAGCUCCAGGAUUUCUAAGAGCGUCACAUGAAUCCUGCUUACAAGGUGUCCAGUCAAGAGUACACAAGUCAAGGCCUCAGCAAAGCUUCCCAAAAGGUUUGCAGUAGACAGGGCAGAGACACCACGUACCAACAACUCUUAGGAGGGUUCCAACAGCAGACUGUCAAACAGGGCCCAGAAGAGCCAUCUUAAUGUGUAUGAACUUAUUUCACUUUCCAAACAAGAACAUUCCAACAAAGAAGUGUAUAUCAUGCACUGCAAGGUGGGCAGAAACAGAUAAAGAGGCGUCGUGUGGAACAUGCUUCAGCAACUUUGCAACAACUUGGUGUGGAAUACAUGACAUGUGACAGAGUUAUGGCGUCAUAUCUCUUCUGUGUCAGUGUGCUGGCUGGCAGUGUUGCUUAGUGAUUGGUGACUUUGAAGUGAUUGACUUUCAAAAGUUAACUGUUUUAGUUUUAGUGGUUUUGCUUUUUGUCUUAGUUUUUAGUCGUAUCUGACGCUUCUGUUACAGUAGCUCCCACAUUCACUGGCAAAUCCAGGAUUGAUUGUGAGCCGAGGACUGUCAAAACUGGGACGACUGGUAUGCUCACUUUCAAAAUUGGGACAACUGGCUAGAUCAAUUACAGAAAUGUGAAAUUUCACUGUCAACAUUGGGACUGUAAAAAUCGGGACUGAACCAGUUUGUCAUGUCCCGACACGUUAUUUUUAACAUAUUGGUAUCGCUAGUAAAACUGAAGUAUUGUGCGAGCUUGACAAACAAACAAUAAAAUGAAUUAAAUAAUAAAAAAAUAA